rnacentral:rRNA from 1 species
UACGAGAGGCCCAAACGUUAUUCGGAAUUACUGGGCUUAAAGAGUUCGUAGGCGGCGCAGAAAGUAGGGUGUGAAAGCCCUCGCUUAACCGAGGAAUUGCGCCCUAAACUACUGUGCUUGAGGAACCUAGAGGUGAGCAGAACAGAUGGUGGAGCGGUGAAAUGCGUUGAUAUCAUCUGGAAUACCGGAGGCGAAGGCGGCUCACUGGGGGUUUCUGACGCUGAGGAACGAAAGCCAGGGUAGCGAACGGG